rnacentral:lncRNA from 1 species
AGCAAGACAGCUGAAAGAUAUGUAGAGAGAGAAGCCAAGACAGUGCCCAGCUAUCCCAGUCACACCCACAGACCCACCACAUGUAUGAGUGAAGCCAUCUUGGACUUUCCAGCUGAGCUCCCAGCUAAAGGCAGCUGCAAGGGUGAUCCCAGCUGAUGCCAUGUGAAACAGAAGAACCAUCCACCUGAGCCCAGCCAAGGUGGAUACAUAUCUGAAGCUACAUAUGCCAGAGUCCCCCUGCUUGGGAUGGAGGAGAGCUGUUUUACUCCCA